AGCGAACGUUAGCGGCGGGCCUAACACAUGCAAGUCGAGCGAGAAAGGGGGUUCGCCCCCGAGUACAGCGGCGGACGGGUGAGUAACACGUAGGUAAUUUUCCCUUGAGCGGGGGACAACGUUCCGAAAGGGACGCUAAUACCGCAUAAGUUCUUGGGUGCUUCGGCACUGGAGAGGAAAGCUAGGCCGCAAGGUCUGGCACUCGAGGAGAAGCCUGCGUCGCAUCAGCUAGUUGGUGGGGUAAUGGCCUACCAAGGCAAAGACGCGUAGCUGGUCUGAGAGGAUGAUCAGCCACACUGGGACUGAGACACGGCCCAGACUCCUACGGGAGGCAGCAGUGGGGAAUAUUGGGCAAUGGGCGAAAGCCUGAUCCAGCAAUGCCGCGUGAGUGAUGAAGGCCUUAGGGUGUAAAGCUCUUUACCCGGGAUGAUAAUGACAGUACCGGGAGAAUAAGCCCGGCUAACUCCGUGCCAGCAGCCGCGGUAAU
rnacentral:rRNA from 1 species